rnacentral:rRNA from 1 species
UGGGGGAUAUUGCGCAAUGGGGGAAACCCUGACGCAGCAACGCCGCGUGAAGGAUGAAGGUCUUCGGAUUGUAAACUUCUUUUAUUAAGGACGAAGAAAGUGACGGUACUUAAUGAAUAAGCUCCGGCUAACUACGUGCCAGCAGCCGCGGUAAUACGUAGGGAGCAAGCGUUGUCCGGAUUUACUGGGUGUAAAGGGUGCGUAGGCGGCUUUGCAAGUCAGAUGUGAAAUCUAUGGGCUCAACCCAUAGCCUGCAUUUGAAACUGCAGAGCUUGAGUGAAGUAGAGGCAGGCGGAAUUCCCCGUGUAGCGGUGAAAUGCGUAGAGAUGGGGAGGAACACCAGUGGCGAAGGCGGCCUGCUGGGCUUUAACUGACGCUGAGGCACGAAAGCGUGGGUAGCAAACAGGAUUAGAUACCCUGGUAGUCCACGCUGUAAACGAUGAUUACUAGGUGUGGGGGGUCUGACCCCUUCCGUGCCGGAGUUAACACAAUAAGUAAUCCACCUGGGGAGUACGGCCGCAAGGUUGAAACUCAAAGGAAUUGACGGGGGCCCGCACAAGCAGUGGAGUAUGUGGUUUAAUUCGAAGCAACGCGAAGAACCUUACCAGGUCUUGACAUCCAACUAACGAAGUAGAGAUACAUUAGGUGCCCUUCGGGGAAAGUUGAGACAGGUGGUGCAUGGUUGUCGUCAGCUCGUGUCGUGAGAUGUUGGGUUAAGUCCCGCAACGAGCGCAACCCUUGCUAUUAGUUGCUACGCAAGAGCACUCUAAUAGGACUGCCGUUGACAAAACGGAGGAAGGUGGGGACGACGUCAAAUCAUCAUGCCCCUUAUGACCUGGGCUACACACGUACUACAAUGGAUGUUAACAGAGGGAAGCAAGACAGCGAUGUGGAGCAAACCCCUAAAAACAUUCUCAGUUCAGAUUGCAGGCUGCAACCCGCCUGCAUGAAGAUGGAAUUGCUAGUAAUCGCGGAUCAGAAUGCCGCGGUGAAUACGUUCCC